UGAGUGGCGAACGGUGAGUAACACGUGAGUAACCUGCCCUCUUCUUUGGGAUAACGCCCGGAAACGGGUGCUAAUACUGGAUAUUCACUGGCCUUCGCAUGGGGGUUGGUGGAAAGGUUUGUUCUGGUGGGGGAUGGGCUCGCGGCCUAUCAGCUUGUUGGUGGGGUGAUGGCCUACCAAGGCUUUGACGGGUAGCCGGCCUGAGAGGGUGACCGGUCACAUUGGGACUGAGAUACGGCCCAG
rnacentral:rRNA from 1 species